CAAUUUAGGUUUUUCCAACAAAUCUAAAUAUAUUCCAAGUACUCGUAGUUAAAUUUUGGAGAUUCAUUUGAAGACUAAUCACUCCCAAUAGUCCAAUCUAAUUUGAAACUUAAAGCGCAUUCCUAAGGAUGAAAUUAUAUUGGCAUGUAUGUGGUCGAUGAAUCAUGGAAUACCACCCUUAGCCAAGAAAAUAUGAACCCUGACUGCCUCAACAAUGUAAGUUGGUGACUACCUAACUCUAUCUUUAAUUGAAAAUUACUAAAUUUAGCUGUUUCUAUACGAGAAUAUCUAUUUUCUUUGCAUAAUGCAUAUCAUAGAUUUUAAUUAAUAAUUACAUGUAACAAUUAUCUGAAAUAUAGUAAAUAUUUUGAAUUAUUGUACGAUAAUGGUUCCUUGAAUGUUUCUAUAGCGUAAGGCUCCAAAAGCAAUAGGCCGAGGUACUUGUCGGUUCAUUUUGUAAAUACAUACUUCUACUUAAUA